ensembl:lncRNA PRKG1-AS1 PRKG1 antisense RNA 1
UCUUCACCCCGCCCCUCCCUUGCUUAGUCGCUCGGCUGGCCCGGCUCACCUUCGGGGUGAAGGCUACCAGCGAGCGUUAUAGCAGACGACUUUAAUAAAUGCAGGCGGCAGCAGGAACUCUGGGAACUUGGGUGCCCUUGCCUGGCAGUAAGGGUUGAAUUAUCCGGAUCUGAAAUACUUUACAGAGCCGAGGGGUGAUAGGCUCUGCAAAAGCACUUUUUGCCCCUCUCCUUUAUGCCAAUACUCGCUGACUGUGCACACAAGUCAUAUUCAGUAUUAAAUACAAACCGGUCUGUAAUUCAAUGGCUCUAGCAAGACGCCUCUGAGAGGGCCAGGUGGCGGGUGCAAGUUGCUCAUUAACCCUUUAGAGUCGCAGUUUGCAGAUCUGAGUUAGAUCCCCGGCUUUGAGGUCCUUCAGUUGCCCUCCUCCCCCACCUCCCCCCGCCACUGCGAGAAAAAUGUGCAAAGAGAAGGAAAUUUGCACAUCAAACGAGGGGCAAUCGCGGCGGUAGAUGAACUUGAUUAGGCAGACGCGUGAGAUCAAAGUGGCCGGGACCAAAGCGGACAGGGUCCAACGUGCCAGCACUGCCAAGAGAAGGCCUUUUGUACUCAGGUUAAAUAAGAACAUCCUGCAAGGAGUCUGUUCUUUUAUGCAGCCUAAAGAUCAAGUAAUAAUCAUUGACACUGAUACUGAGCAUGUCGAUUUUGAAGAGACUAGCAUUUCCUGGUAAUGAAGUGGAGUAUAUAUCCAUAUAUUUCUGUUUUCUGGAUGAGAAGACUAACCUAACUAAGUAGGAACCUUGAAGAAUCAUGUUCUUCCUAGGAAUUACAAAUCCCCCGAUUCCAUGUCUAACAUAAUUUCUACUGGCCUCUUUGCUUCUCAUGCUUUAGUACCAGUGCUUCUGAAUUUGAAAGUCUUCAUGCAAAUUGCCCAGCUGACAGGGCAGCCACUGUUGAGGAAAUGCUGAUCA